CCCCUGGUGGUCCAGUGGCUAAGACUCUGUGCUUCCAAUACAGGAGGCCCGGGUUCAAUCCCUGAUCAGGGAA
rnacentral:tRNA from 1 species